GGAGGGGUGGCCGAGAGGCUGAAGGCGGCGGUUUGCUAAACCGUUAUACGGUUCAUCCCGUAUCGUGGGUUCGAAUCCCAUCCCCUCCGCCA
rnacentral:tRNA from 1 species